AUAUAGUCAGGCGCGUAGCUCCCUAUACGCUAACACGCUGUUGCGUGCACAUCGAUUCGGCAUGCAAAAAAAAAAUGGCAAAAUAAAAAUUUAUAAAUUGAAUGAUAAAGGAAACACCUAUGUUGUCACUUUUUUAAUUGAUGAAAUAUCAUUAAAUAACGGCAUUUGGUUUCAAAAUAAAAGUUUUAUUGGAGAUUAUGACAAAAUAGGAC
rnacentral:lncRNA from 1 species